AUAUAUACAGUGAAACUGCGAAUGGCUCAUUAAAUCAGUUAUCGUUUAUUUGAUGAUACUUUACUACUUGGAUAACCGUGGUAAUUCUAGAGCUAAUACAUGCAUAAAAGUCCCGACCCCUGGAAGGGAUGUAUUUAUUAGAUAAAAAACCAAUGCCUUCGGGCUCUUUGGUGAUUCAUAAUAACUUAACGAAUCGCAUAGCCUUGUGCUGGCGAUGGUUCAUUCAAAUUUCUGCCCUAUCAACUUUCGAUGGUAGGAUAUAGGCCUACCAUGGUUUCAACGGGUAACGGGGAAUUAGGGUUCUAUUCCGGAGAGGGAGCCUGAGAAACGGCUACCACAUCCAAGGAAGGCAGCAGGCGCGCAAAUUACCCAAUCCCGACACGGGGAGGUAGUGACAAUAAAUACUGAUACAGGUGGUUUUAUGCCUCUUGUAAUUGGAAUGAGUACAAUUUAAAUCUCUUAACGAGGAACAAUUGGAGGGCAAGUCUGGUGCCAGCAGCCGCGGUAAUUCCAGCUCCAAUAGCGUAUAUUAAAGUUGUUGCAGUUAAAAAGCUCGUAGUUGAACCUUGGAUCUGGCCAACUGGUCUGCCUCACCGCAUGUACUGGUUUGGUCGGGUCUUUCCUUCUGGCAAACUGCAUGCCCUUCACUGGGUGUGUUGGGGAACCAGGACUUUUACUUUGAAAAAAUUAGAGUGUUCAAAGCAGGCAUUGGCUCGAAUACAUUAGCAUGGAAUAAUAGAAUAGGACGUGUGGUUCUAUUUUGUUGGUUUCUAGGACCACCGUAAUGAUUAAUAGGGAUAGUCGGGGGCAUCAGUAUUCAAUCGUCAGAGGUGAAAUUCUUGGAUCGAUUGAAGACUAACUACUGCGAAAGCAUUUGCCAAGGAUGUUUUCAUUAAUCAGGGAACGAAAGUUAGGGGAUCGAAGACGAUCAGAUACCGUCGUAGUCUUAACCAUAAACUAUGCCGACUAGGGAUUGGGCGAUGUUCUUUUUUGACUCGCUCAGCACCUUACGAGAAAUCAAAGUCUUUGG
rnacentral:rRNA from 1 species